rnacentral:rRNA from 1 species
UACGGAGGGUGCGAGCGUUAAUCGGAAUUACUGGGCGUAAAGGGUGCGUAGGUGGUUUGAUAAGUUAUCUGUGAAAUCCCUGGGCUUAACCUGGGCAGGUCAGAUAAGACUGUUGGACUGGAGUAUGGGAGAGGGUAGUGGAAUUUCCGGUGUAGCAGUGAAAUGCGUAGAGAUCGGGAGGAACACCAGUGGCGAAGGCGGCUCGCUGGGCCGGACCUGACGCUGAGACGCGAAGGCGUGGGGAGCAAACAGG